UGCUGCAGAAGAAGUAAUAUCUGAAUGUCGUGUUUCUAGUUUAGAAUUAAAUAAUGUACUUAGCCCACGUAAUUAC
rnacentral:tRNA from 1 species